GCGGAUAUGGCGAAAUUGGUAGACGCACCAGAUUUAGGUUCUGGCGGGAGACCGUGGGGGUUCGAGUCCCUCUAUCCGCA
rfam:Ochrobactrum pseudogrignonense strain K8 chromosome 1, complete sequence.